GAUGAACGCUGACAGAAUGCUUAACACAUGCAAGUCGAUGGGGAAGUGGUGCUUGCACCCUGGUAACCAUGGCGGACGGGUGAGUAACGCGUAAGGAACUUGCCUGCGGGACUGGGAUAACAGCAGGAAACUGCUGAUAAUACCGGAUAAGGUCAUUAAGCUGCAUAGCUUAGUGAUGAAAGGAGACGCCUGCGGAGAGCCUUGCGUCCUAUUAGCUAGUUGGAGGGGUAACGGCCCACCAAGGCGAAGAUAGGUAGCCGGCCUGAGAGGGUGGACGGCCACAAGGGGACUGAGAUACGGCCCUUACUCCUACGGGAGGCAGCAGUGGGGAAUAUUGGACAAUGGGGGCAACCCUGAUCCAGCAAUUCUGUGUGCACGAAGACGGUUUUCGGAUUGUAAAGUGAUUUCAGCAGGGAAGAAGGAAGUGACGGUACCUGCAGAAGAAGCGACGGCUAAAUACGUG
rnacentral:rRNA from 1 species